GACGAACGCUGGCGGCGUGCCUAACACAUGCAAGUCGAACGGAGUGGCGAACGGGUGAGUAACACGUGGGUGAUCUGCCUUGCACUUCGGGAUAAGCUUGGGAAACCGGGACUAAUACCGGAUAGUGCAAGAUGAGGUCGGGGCCUAUCAGCUUGUUGGUGGGGUAAUGGCCUACCACUGCGCCGACGGGUAGCCGGCCUGGGAGGGUGUACGGCCACAUGGGGACUGAGAUACGGCCCAGACGGCUACGGGAGGCAGCAGUGGGGAAUAUUGCACAAUGGGCGGAAGCGUGAUGCAGCGACGCCGGGUGGGGGAUGAAGGCCUUCGGGUUGUAAACGCCUUUCGACAGGGACGCGGUACCUGUAUAAGAAGCACCGGCUAACUACGUGCCAGCAGCCGCGGUAAUAC
rnacentral:rRNA from 1 species